rnacentral:rRNA from 1 species
AUUGAACGCUGGCGGCAUGCCUUACACAUGCAAGUCGAACGGCAGCACGGGUGCUUGCACCUGGUGGCGAGUGGCAAACGGGUGAGUAAUACAUCGGAACAUGUCCUGUAGUGGGGGAUAGCCCGGCGAAAGCCGGAUUAAUACCGCAUACGAUCUACGGAUGAAAGCGGGGGACCCUCGCGCCUCGCGCUAUAGGGUUGGCCGAUGGCUGACUAGCUAGUUGGUGGGGUAAACGCCUACCAAGGCGACGAUCAGUAGCUGGUCUGAGAGGACGACCAGCCACACUGGGAGUGAGGCACGGCCCAGACUCCGACGGGAGGCAGCGGUGGAGAAUUUUGGGCAAUGGGCGAGAGCCUAAUCCAGCAAUACCGCGUGUGUGAUGAAGGCCUUCGGGUUGUAAAGCGCUUUUGUCCGGAAAGAAAUCCUUGGCCCUAAUACGGUCGGAGAAUGACAGUACCGGAAGAAUAAGCACCGGCUAACUACGUG